UACGUAGGGACCGAGCGUUGUCCGGAUUUAUUGGGCGUAAAGAGCGUGUAGGCGGCCAGGUAGGUCUGCUGUGAAAACUCGAGGCUUAACCUCGAGCUGUCGGCGGAAACCAUCUGGCUAGAGUCCGGAAGAGGAGAAUGGAAUUCCCGGUGUAGCGGUGAAAUGCGCAGAUAUCGGGAAGAACACCAGUGGCGAAGGCGACUUACUGGACACAUAUUGACGCUGAGGUGCGAAAGCGUGGGGAGCAAACAGG
rnacentral:rRNA from 1 species